rnacentral:lncRNA from 1 species
UUAAUAAAAUUUUGAGACCAAAUGUGGAGAUUGUUGAGUAUAAAAUAAUAAAAACUGUUAAAAUCGGAACGGCGAAAAAUAGAUCCAGAAAAUAAUUUAAUGCAGGAAGAAAAAAGAUAAGGAAAGAGCACACCGAUAUUUACAAGGUUCGGCCAACGGCCUAUGUCCACGGGCGAAGACGGAGCAAAUACUUUAUUAAUGUUAAAAAGACGAAGUACAAAAAAGAUCUCUCAAAGAAUUUCAUAAUCCAAAUAAAUAAAUUGACGCGCACAAAGCAUCU